GGGAAGGUGGCUCAGUGGUAGAGUGCUGGCCUUGUAUGCAUGAGGCCCUGGGUUCGAUUCUCAGCACCCCA
rnacentral:tRNA from 1 species